rnacentral:rRNA from 1 species
CCUACGGGAGGCAGCAGUGGGGAAUAUUGCACAAUGGGCGCAAGCCUGAUGCAGCCAUGCCGCGUGUGUGAAGAAGGCCUUCGGGUUGUAAAGCACUUUCAGCGGGGAGGAAGGCGGUGAGGUUAAUAACCUCAUCGAUUGACGUUACCCGCAGAAGAAGCACCGGCUAACUCCGUGCCAGCAGCCGCGGUAAUACGGAGGGUGCAAGCGUUAAUCGGAAUUACUGGGCGUAAAGCGCACGCAGGCGGUCUGUCAAGUCGGAUGUGAAAUCCCCGGGCUCAACCUGGGAACUGCAUUCGAAACUGGCAGGCUAGAGUUUUGUAGAGGGGGGUAGAAUUCCAGGUGUAGCGGUGAAAUGCGUAGAGAUCUGGAGGAAUACCGGUGGCGAAGGCGGCCCCCUGGACAAAGACUGACGCUCAGGUGCGAAAGCGUGGGGAGCAAACAGGAUUAGAUACCCCAGUAGUC